GAUGAACGCUAGCGGCAGGCUUUACACAUGCAAGUCGAACGGCAGCGCGGGGGCAACCCUGGCGGCGAGUGGCGAACGGGUGAGUAAUACAUCGGAACGUGCCCGAUCGUGGGGGAUAACGCAGCGAAAGCUGUGCCAAUACCGCAUACGAUCUACGGAUGAAAGCGGGGGAUCGCAAGACCUCGCGCGGACGGAGCGGCCGAUGGCAGAUUAGGUAGUUGGUGGGAUAAAAAGCUUACCAAGCCGACGAUCUGUAGCUGGUCUGAGAGGACGACCAGCCACACUGGGACUGAGACACGGCCCAGACUCCUACGGGAGGCAGCAGUGGGGAAUUUUGGACAAUGGGCGCAAGCCUGAUCCAGCCAUGCCGCGUGCAGGAUGAAGGCCUUCGGUUGUAAACUGCUUUGUACGGACGAAAAAGACUACUCUCUAAUACAGGGGUGGAAUGACGGUACCGUAAGAAUAAG
rnacentral:rRNA from 1 species